rnacentral:rRNA from 1 species
UAGGGAAUCUUCCACAAUGGACGCAAGUCUGAUGGAGCAACGCCGCGUGAGUGAAGAAGGGUUUCGGCUCGUAAAGCUCUGUUGUUAAAGAAGAACGUGGGUAAGAGUAACUGUUUACCCAGUGACGGUAUUUAACCAGAAAGCCACGGCUAACUACGUACCAA